rnacentral:rRNA from 1 species
ACGCUCGACACCUACGGGGGCAGCAGUAGGGAAUCUUCCACAAUGGGCGCAAGCCUGAUGGAGCAACACCGCGUGAGUGAAGAAGGGUUUCGGCUCGUAAAGCUCUGUUGUUGGAGAAGAACGUGCGUGAGACGUAACUGUUCACGCAGUGACGGUAUCCAACCAGAAAGUCACGGCUAACUACGUGUCAGCAGCCGCGGUAAUCUGAGCGGGCUGGACAAGGC